rnacentral:lncRNA from 1 species
UUUUUUUUUUUCUUUUUUCAUUUCUGGCCGCCCUUCAGCAUAUGGAGUUCCCAGGCCAGAUAUCCAACCCGAUCCACAGUUGCGACCUACAUGGCAGCUGCAGCAGCACUGGAUCCUUUAACCCACGGGGCCAGGCCAGGGACUGAACCUACACCCCGGCACUGCAGAGAUGCCACCGAUCCCUUUGAGCCACAGCGGGAACUCCCGGCCACUGAUUUAAGCUGUAUCCUCACCAAGGGCUCAGGCGUGAGAGGUCAGGGGAAGGUAGUAAAAGAAGAAAUUUAUCCCAUUUCUAGCCCUCAAGCCUAGAGAUAGCAUACUGAUGUAUCUUCAGAUACACUGAUAUGCCUGUAAGAACCCAUACACAUAAGCAGUGAAGAUUUUUUUCUCCCUAUCACAAAGUUUUCUCUUAAACAUGUUUCUGCCUAAAAAUGGAUCUUGAGCAUCUUCCCACGGGGCAGCCCAUCUCUUUCUGUUCAACGGCUGCAUGAUGUUCCAGGGUGUGGAUGUUCCAGACUUUAUUUCACGAUUCCCUUAGUGACACACUUUUGAAAUGCUUGUGUCCUCGGCUUUUAUAAAUAAUGUUGACAUGAAUAGGCUUAUAUAUUCCUGUUUGUGCUAACGAGCAAACACGUCUCUUGGUUAAAUAUCUAGAAGUAGAGGGAGUUCCCGUCAUGGCGCAGUGGAAAUGAAUCUGACUAGGAGCCGUGAGGUUGCGGGUUUGAUCCCUGGCCUUGCUCAGUGAGUUGAGGACCUAGUGUUGUCGUGAGCUGUGGUGUAAGCCGAAGACGCGGCUCGGAUCUGGUGUUGCUGUGGUUGUGGUGCACGCUGCCAGCUACAGCUCCAACUGGACCCCUAGCUUGGUAACCUCCAUAUGCUGUGGGUGCGAUCCUAAAAAGAUAAAAGACAAAACAAAACAAAACAAAACAAAACAAAAAAACUAGAAGUAGAAUUGCUGAGUAGAAACACCUAUCUUAAAAUUUAAAAUUGGACAGAUACUGUCAAGCAGCUCUGAAAAGACAUUACCAAUUUAUUUUCUCCCCAACCCUGUAUAAGGAUUUUCUUUUCUUUUCUUUUGUCUUUUUAGGGCCACAUCCAUAGCAUAUGGAGGUUCCCAGAAAACUAAAUACAGAACUACCAUAGGAUCCGGCAAUCCCAGCCUGGGCAUGUAUCUGCACAAAACCUCCAUGCAAAAAGAUACAUGCACCCCCAUGUUCACUGCAGCCAAGACAUGGAAACAACCUAAAUGUCCAUCAACAGAUGAAUGGAUUAAGAAAAUGUGGUACAGGAGUUCCUGUCGUGGCUCAGGGGAAACGAAUCUAACUAGGAUCCAUGAGGAUACAGGUUUGAUCCCUGGCCUCGCUCAGUGGGUUAGGAUCCGGUGUUGCCAUGAGCUGUGGUGCAGGUCACAGACGCGGCUCAGAUCUGGCAUUGCUGUCAUUGUGGUGUAGGUCAGUGGCUACAGCUCCGAUUUGACCCCUAGUCUGGGAACCUCCAUGUGCUUCGGGUGUGGCCCUAAAAAGACAAAAUUUUUAAAAAAUUUGUAGUUCCAUAACAAUGAAAGAAAUUGAAUUCAUAAUCUAAAACCUUCCAAAAAAGAAAUCUCCAGCCCUAGAUGGCUUAACUAGAGCAUUCUCCCAAACACUUAAAGAACACCAAUUCUAUAUAAUCUUUUCCAGAAAAAUAGAAGAGGAGGGAAUAUUUCUCGUUUUAUCAAGCUAGCAUUUUCCCUGCUACCAAGUGAGACAAAGAUAACACGAGAGAAGAAAACUACAGACCAAUGUCUCUCAUGCCCAUGGAUAUAAAACUCCUCAACAAAAUACUAACAAUUUGAAUCUAGCAACUAAAAAAAAGUGUAACAACUAUGACCAAGUGAGGCUUGCUGCCGGACGGCAAGGUUGGCUCGAUAUUCAAAAAUCAAUGUGAUCCACUAAAUUAACAAUAGAAGAAGAUCCAUUUAAUAGGAUCGAUUCAUUUAGAAGAGCAUUAGACCAAAUUCAAUAGCCAGUUAUGAUUUUUUUGAAACUCGAAGCAAACUAGAAAUAAAAGGGAACCUCCUCGAGCUGAUAAAGAGCAUCACAUACUAAUGCGUCAUUCCAUUGCUACUAAGCAGAUUUUCUUGGAGUUUUUCUUGCCUAUAUAAUCGGCUAUAAGAUCAGUCUUAAUUUAAGGUCUCAAAGGUGCAGUCUAGAAUAAAGCUAAACUUUAAUCUCACAUCCAACUAAUGCUUUAUAUGCCACCAACUCGGGAUCUGGAGGUCUGGGCUGUAGCAGACACGGCCAGGAUUUUGAUCAGAUCCCUUCAUUCUUGUCAUGCACACUAGUUUCCAAUGUGAGUUUUUUCUUAACAACCAGCACCUGCAUCUCUUUGUCAGGGGACUGCUCUCAGGCUGCUAGAAGGUGCUUCACCUGGGCACACAGGAAGCAGGAAGUAUCUUAGCAUUUACAUUCUCCCAAACCACAGACCGCCCUUAACCAAUGACUGUGGAUGCAAGGGGACCCAUACUCCAGAUCUCUCGUCCCUGAUUGAGGCAACUCUGAGAUGUGAUCCACACUGUCCCCAUUUCUGCCUGCGGACCGAGCUGGUUACAGCACCACUAUCACAGGACUUCGCUUAACAUGGCCUAAAAACACUUCUCAAUGACGCACGUUCACAAGAACCCUCGUCUUGUGGUCAGCUUCUAUUGCGCUCCUGCCUGAUGUCCUCCUCGUCCUCAUCCUGUGCCCUCAUCCCCUUAUUUUUAUUUAUUUUUAGGGCCCACCCAAGGCAUAUGGAAACUCCCAGGCUAGGGGGUGAAUCGGAGCUGUACCUGUUGGCCUACACCACAGCCACAGCAAAGCCAGACCUGCGCCACGUCUCCAACCUACACCGCCGCUCAUGGCAACACUGGUCCCCAGCCCACUGAGCAAGGCCAAAGGAUCGAACACACUAGGCGGAUUCAUUUCCACUGCGCCAUCAUUCAUUUCCACUACGCCUCCCUAAAAACACUUUCUAAUGAAUCACUUUCACAAGGUUCCUCCUCUCAGGAUCUGCUUCUGGAGAAGCCAGAACAGAAGUUACAGGCUGUUCUGCUCCUUUCUCUUUCCUCUUCUCUGUAUCGCAGGGUCAGGGCAAGGGAGGGGAGAACGCAACCAAAAGAGGUCCAGGACCUGGUGCUGUUACAGCCGCCAAGACGCUCUUCACAGCAGGCAUCAACACGGGCCUC